CCUAGUUGAUCCUAACAGUAGUCAUAUACUUGUCUCAAUGAUUAAGCCAUGCAUGUGUAAGUAUGAACAAAUUUAGACUGUGAAACUGCGAAUGUCUCAUUAAAUAACUUAUAUUCUAUUUGAUGGUAUCUACUACUCGGAUAACCAUAGUAAUUCUAGAGCUAACACAUGAAACAAACCCCAAGAUCUAGAAGGGAUUCAAUUAUUAGUAAAAGGUCAAAGCGGGCUCUGUCUAUUGCUGUGAUGAUUCUUCAUAACUUGACGGAUCGCACGACCAUCGUGCCGGCAAUGCAUUAUUCAAAUUUCUUCCCUAUCAACUUUCGAUGGUAGGAUAGUGGCCUACCAUAGUGGUGACGGGUGAAGGAGAAUUAGAGUUCGAUUUCGAAGAGGGAGCCUGAUAAAGGGCUACCACAUCCAAGAAAGGCAGCAGGUGCACAAAUAACCCAAUCCUGACACGGUGAGGUAGUGAUAAUAAAUAACAAUAUCGAGCCCAAUGAGUCUUGUAAUUGGAAUAAGUAAAAUCUAAAUCCCUUAACAAGGAUCCAUUAGAGGGAAAGUCUGGUGCUAGCAGCCGUGGUAAUUCCAGCUCUAAUAGCAUAUAUUUAAGUUAUUGUAGUUAAAAAGUUCGUAGUUGGACUUUGGGAUGGGCAGGCCGGUCCGCCUAGGGUGUGCACCGAUCGUCUCAUCCCUUCUGUAGGCAAUGCACUCCUAUCCUUCACUGGUUGGGUCGUGUCUCUGGCGUGGUUACUUUGAAGAAAUUAGAUUGGUCAAAGCAAUCAAACGCUCAGUAUACAUUAGCAUGGGAUAACAUUAUAGCAUUUCGAUCCUAUUACGUUGGCCUUCGGGAUCGGAGUAAUGAUUAAUAAGGACAGUCGGGGGCAUUCGUAUUUCAUAGUCAGAGGUGAAAUUCUUAGAUUUAUGAAAGACGAACAACUACGAAAGCAUUUACCAAGGAUGUUUUCAUUAAUCAAUAAUGAAAGUUGGGGGUUUGAUGACGAUCAGAAAUUGUCCUAGUCUUAACCAUAAAUGAUGUUGACCUAGUCGCAAGGCUUAAACUUAAAGAAAUUGAUAAAAGGGCACCACCAGGAGUGGAUCCAGUGGCUUAAUUUGACUCAACACGGGGAAACUUACCAGGUCCAGACAUAGUAAGGAAUGAUACACUAAGAGCUCUUUGUUGAUUCUAUGGGUGGUGGUGCAUGGCCAUUCUUAGUUGGUAGAGAAAUUUUUAUUGUUAAUUCUAUUAACGAAUGAGACCUCAGCCUGCUAACUAGCUAUGCGUAGGUAUCACUUUGUGGCAAACUUCUUAGAGGGACUACAACCUUUUAGGCCGCGGAAGUUUAAGGAAAUAACAGGUCUUUGAAGCCCUUAAAUGUUCUGGGCCGCACGCGCACUACACUGAUGUAUUUAAUGAGUUUAUAGCCUUGAGUGACAGGCCCUGGUAAUCUUUGAAAUUUCAUCGUGAUGGGGAUCGAUCAUUGCAUUUCUUGGUAUUCAAUGAGGAAUUCCUAGUAAGUGCGAGUCAUCAGUUCAUUUUGACUAUGUUCCUGCCCGUUGUACACACCGCCUGUCAUUCCUACUCAUUGAAUAAUCUAGUGAAAUAUUUGCAUUGUGGCAACAUGGGUGGUUUACUUCCCGCGACGGCGUAAGAAUUCCAUUGAACCUUAGCAUUUAGAGGAAAGAGAAGUUGUAACGAGGUUUCUGUAGGUGAACCCGUGGAAG
rnacentral:rRNA from 1 species